rnacentral:rRNA from 1 species
UAGGCGGUGGAAAAUGAACCAAAUGGGAUUCCUUGAGUAAUUGCGAAUGAACAAGGAAAUGCUCACCUUGGAAAACUGGGUACCUUGUCCCCUGAAUUGUAUUUUUGAAAUGUAUUACCAAUGGAUGUGCAGGUGCAAGCCUAUUGAAAGAAAGUGCCAUUGUGGGUGACAUUCCUUUUGCCAACUGUAAUCUUCCAUGCACGGUGUACAUUUAAUGAGUCACAUUCCUUGGCAUUGGAAUGCAAAUGUGGUGGUAAAUUCCAUGUAAAGGAAAAUAUGUCAUUGAGACUGAUAGCAAACAAGUACCAUGAGGGAGAUAUGAAAAGGACUUUGAAAAGAGAAUUAAAAGAGCCUGAAAUUGUUGAGCAGAAAGCAAACAGACAUGUGCACAAUGGUAAGACUGCUGCAUUCCUUCCUGCAGAUUGUGUGUGGAAGUGUGUGCAAUGGUUCUUGCGUUGAACACCAGCUUUGCUACUUGAAAUCAUUAUUCAUGUGUAUGAAUGAAAAUUUGUUUUCGGGCAAUGCAACGCAUGCAUAUGAUAUGAUGUUGGGUUGCUUUGUGGCACAUGGCCUGGCUUGGUGCACUUGGAUUAGGAAGGGUGCCCUUCCUGUGUGUCGCUCAUGACUUUGUGUUUUGUUGCUGGAAAUUGGUUCUGCUUG